rnacentral:rRNA from 1 species
UACAGAGGGGGCAAGCGUUGUUCGGAAUUACUGGGCGUAAAGGGCGCGUAGGUGGCCUGCUAAGUCGAACGUGAAAUCCCUGGGCUCAACCCAGGAACUGCGUCCGAUACUGGUUGGCUUGAAUCCGGGAGAGGGAUGUGGAAUUCCAGGUGUAGCGGUGAAAUGCGUAGAGAUGCGGAGGAACACCGAUGGCGAAGGCAGCCCCCUGGGCCAACACUGACGCUCAGGCACGAAAGCGUGGGGAGCAAACAGG